UUGCCCUCCCCCACCGACCUGCAUAACGCGAAGAACCUUACCAAGGCUUGACAUGCAUCUCUAAGCGCGUGAAAGCGCGUGACUCUUCGGAGGAUUUGCACAGGUGCUGCAUGGCCGUCGUCAGCUCGUGUCGUGAGAUGUUGGGUUAAGUCCCGCAACGAGCGCAACCCCUGUGAUUAGUUGCCAGCACGUGAUGGUGGGGACUCUAAUCAGACUGCCCAGAUCAACUGGGAGGAAGGUGGGGACGACGUCAGGUCAGUAUGGCCCUUACGCCUUGGGCUGCACACGUACUACAAUGCCCAGCACAAUGAGAACCGAGACCGCGAGGUGGAGGAAAUCUACAAAACUGGGCCCAGUUCGGAUUGGAGGCUGCAACUCGCCUCCAUGAAGCCGGAAUCGCUAGUAAUGCUGCAUCAGCUACGGCAGCGUGAAUACGUUCCCGGGUCUUGUACACACCG
rnacentral:rRNA from 1 species